rnacentral:tRNA from 1 species
AAUAAGAUGCCUGAUAAAAGGGAUAUCUUGAUAGGAUAUAUCAUGUAUUUAUAAUACUCUUAUUA